rnacentral:rRNA from 1 species
UAGGGAAUCUUCCACAAUGGACGCAAGUCUGAUGGAGCAACGCCGCGUGAGUGAAGAAGGUUUUCGGAUCGUAAAGCUCUGUUGUUGGUGAAGAAGGAUAGAGGCAGUAACCGGUCUUUAUUUGACGGUAAUCAACCAGAAAGUCACGGCUAACUACGUGCCAGCAGCCGCGGUAAUACGUAGGUGGCAAGCGUUGUCCGGAUUUAUUGGGCGUAAAGCGAGCGCAGGCGGAAUGAUAAGUCUGAUGUGAAAGCCCACGGCUCAACCGUGGAACUGCGUCGGAAACUGUCAUUCUUGAGUGCAGAAGAGGAGAGUGGAACUCCAUGUGUAGCGGUGGAAUGCGUAGAUAUAUGGAAGAACACCAGUGGCGAAGGCGGCUCUCUGGUCUGCAACUGACGCUGAGGCUCGAAAAGCAUGGGUAGCGAACAGGAUUAGAUACCCUGGUAGUCCAUGCCGUAAAACGAUGAGCGCUAGGUGUUGGGGACUUUCCGGUCCUCAGUGCCGCAGCAAAACG